CUCCGCUCUCCUCUUCUCUCUCCCUAUUUUCUAGAUUACAACUAGAACUAACUAGAACUAGAACUAGAGGAACUAGAACUAGAACUAGAUGAACAAGAACUAGAUCUAGAUGAACUAGAGGUAGAACUAGAAGAACUAGAGGGAUCCUCUCUACUUGGAUGAAGAAUUGAAACCCUAGCUUUGAUUUUGUAGAAGAGGUAUGAUCUCCAGGGGCCAGGGGGGUCUGGUUUUAUAGUCCCUUCAAGUGAAUCUGGGCCGUUGGAUCAAACCGACAUUGAUCGUGUGGUUUUCCUUGAAGUAUUAGGUCGGUGGAGUGUUGUCCCCGAAUUGGACUCUGUUUGGUCCAGGGGGGAGGGCGAGCGCCCAGUGCCCGGCUCCGUUACGUCUCCCGUUCGUUUCCGUGGCUUCUGGAGUCUUCUAGAUGGUAGAAAAUUGCGCGGCACGUUAAUAUCUCUAUGUAAACCCGACGUGUGGGCCUUUCUUCCUUAUUUCCUGAUAACCCCCUGCAGAAAUAGACAAACACCAAAACUCGUGGAAUUCUGUCAGAUAAAACCCUAAGUCUAGGUGUUGGUUCCAUUUAGAUCCUUUUCCAUGAUUAGUUGAUGGUUAAAUGUGAGCAUUAAGGACCGUCAACAAGCUCCCCCAAGCUUAACCUUUGCUCGUCCCUGAGCAAAGAUGAACUCAAGAGUUUCUGCAGUGGUUUCAUAACUUAAAGAUACACAUGCGUUUAAACAAGAUCUCAUCUCUGGUUAGAGUAAACUGUUAAGGCUUAAAACUUACUCAUUUACCUUUCACCAUGGGACUUGUAACCGUCACUUCUGUCUUGAGUAGUUAAAAGAUAGAACGGUCUAGUCAAGCACCAUGUCUCUUAUUCUUGAUCAGCUAUAGCUCUGGAGUUUUUGCAGAUUUUCAAAUAAAACUCAGAGAUUCCUUGUAUGACUCUCUCUAGUCUCUCUUUUGUGGUAUUUCUGGAUCCUUACCAAGGCAUUAAUGGUGUAUGCCUUCUCUCAAAGUAUGUGGUAUUUGUGGUAUAAGGCAUAGUGGCAUUGCCUUCUCUCUCACCCUACUCUAAUAAGGCUUUUGAUAUCUGGAGCUCAUAGGUGGGCGACAGCUAAUACAUACUUACAAGACAUUUAUUGCAUAGUCAAACCAUGGAUCCAGAAGAACAAGUCAAUAAGUCAAAUCAAGAUGUGCAUGUAUGGCGAAUUAAUGGUGUAUGGUGAUGAUGGUGAUAACAAUGGUGAAAGUCUAAUUCUACUUAUGCUCUUUUGAGAGGAUACAUACCUUUCUUGCUCUUUUGAAACUUUUUGAGGAGAAUGAGAUGCUCUAUAUUUUCUUUUUCUUUUCUCUCGGGUGGGUAUCUUGUACCCCUAAUUCUACUGUCGGACACUUGUCCAUUUUUACCUCUCGUCUCACUCUCUUCUUUUUUUUCGAGGUUCCGGGCACUUGCCCCUUUUUAUUUCCUCGUAUUUUUUUUCUCUUUUUUUUAUUAGAGCACUCAUCUCAUGAGAUAAUAUAGCAAGUGGUAGUAACCAAGAUAACUUGAGCAUUUAUUUCAUAGGGGAAAACAGAAAUGUUUUUGGCUAUUCUCUCCUGGAUUAGGAGUAGAAUAUUUUUGGGUGGUUCUGGGGAUAGAAAUAGGUGGAUAUAUGUGGAUGGUACUUCCGGAGUAGAAGUAGCAUGUGUGAGUGAACGUGCAAGUGAAUCUUGAUUUAACCACAUGACAAGCUCCUAAGGGUCUACACAGCUUGACCACACUCAAUGCUCAUAAGCAGUAAAAAGUAAAUGUGUGGCUCAAAGUCUAGCAAGCAUGUAUAUCUGGCUGUGGUAGGAAUUUAAACUCUCAUCAUACAGGAACUCAUCAUGUAACAUUUUGAAGAUUUUCAAAGAUAAAAUUCUCCAGAAUUCUAGCAUCUCUAGGAACAGAUAAACAGCAGCUCAACCUUCCCAUAUCAUAUCCGUUAACGACUUAGACUUUAGAUCAAGUACUCUUCCCACAAGUUCAGGUUUAGAGCAAAUUAAUAACAGCCAGGCCUAAACUUGAGAGAGAGAUUUCAAUUUUGAGAACUAGUCAUGGCAGAGCAACUAUUCAUCAUUUCCAUGUGAGAGCUUAUCAUGAGGGUUCAUAGCAAACUUUAUUUAUUUAUCUAUUUAGCAAACUAAGCAAAGAUAUAUAUAUAUAUAUAUAUAUAUAUAUAUAUAUAUAUAUAUAUAUAUAUAUAUAUAUAUAUAUAUAUAUAAGCAUAUUAGAGUAAAGUAUAAACGUGCGUAGAAUACUUAGCUGGAUAAAUGGAGGCGCUCUCCCCCAAGCUGGAUUUUGACGCAAUUUCUUCUGAUGUAGCUAGCAGGUGCUGGAGGUGUAUUUGAAUGUCGGCAGCACUCUAACAACGAUUAGGAUAUCCUCCGUCUGCUAGACUUCUUUGAUCCUUGAAUUCUGUGGAGCUCAAAUAGACAACAAAGCUUUGUGGAACUAGUUAAGUGUUAGCAUAAAUAUUUAGCCUUUAUCAUGUUGAGUCUCCUCAAUAAAUAUUACUCUCUUUAGUAGGAUCAUAAAUUUAUUUUUAUAUUUUUAUUUUUAUAGGACAGGAAUAUAUUUAUUUUAUUUUUAUGCCACCACAGUGAAUGUACUUAUGGAUUUUAUGCCAUGAGCAUACUCACAUGGGGCUUACUAUUUUUAACAUUUUUAUUUUCUUUUCAAGAUGAUAUAAACCUGAUUAACUAAGCAAACUAUUUUAAAAUAAUUAAAAGGAAAAGAUAACUACCAAGUUUACCUCUUGGCAAGACGUUCGGUGUUUUUAAGUCCUCCGAACGGGACUCUCCAUUUUCUCAGUUGUCCUGGGAUUCGCUGGAUGGCGUAGUCGGUGGUUUCGGUGAAGCCUGGUCUUCAUGUAUAACUAUCUUCUCUCUCCACACCUGACUCAGUGCUACGGUCUCCUCAGGACAGUUCUGAUCAAGCUGUAUGUCUUCAGACCUUACUACUUCUCCUUCGUAGUCUGCUCAUCCGUCCUUGAUGAUUUGCCUCUUCUGGUUGCGGUUGCGUCGUCUUCUUCUUGUCCUGACCUGCUUAGAGUCUUCAACUAUAUAGUUAUGGUCAGUAAAAUAGCGGCGUACCUUCUCAGAGGGGAAGUUCAUGUGGACUUCUCCGGUUCCAAUGUAGAUGAUUGCUUUAACGGUGCUGAGGAACGGUCUUCCAAGGAUGAUGGGUGGAUUGUACUCGUCUUCUCCCAUGACAAUAACCUUACGGAAUGUCUGAUCUGCCAUCUGGAGCUGAAUGUAUAUCGGUUGUAGGGGCAUGGUUCCAUGCAGGAGCUGAUAAGUGACUGCGGCCAUUAUAUUGACGUCAGAUCCGGUGUCGUAGAGUGUCUUCUGAAAAAAUAUCUGUUGAUUGUGCACUCGAUGCUUGGAACACCAGGGUCAUCCUUCUUGAUCAAGAAAGGCGACUUGAGUUGACGAUCUUGACCUCCUUGAGCAGCAGUGACCAUCUUAGCUGACUCAGUCCACAAUUGCUUGUUCCUGUUCCUCCUGUUGGUCCUUUCCUUGGUUCAUGUCAGGAUUGCUCUGAGAUUGGUGUAGUUUUGUUCUUGAAGGAAAACGUCUCCUUCGUCCCCUUGAUGUAGAAACUGAUCUUGGCAGCACUAGCGUGGAUGACUGCUCCCGAGGUGUUCAGGAAUGGCCUCCCUAGAAUGAUGGGUGCCCUGUCAUCAGUACCAGUCUCUAUCACCAUGAAGUGUGCUGGAGCGUACAAGGUACCAACACGGACGCAGAGGUUCUUCAAUAUUCCCUUUGGGAAACUUAGCGUCCGAUCUGCAAGCUGCAAACACAUGGUUGUUUCCAAUAAAGGAUAUGUAAAGAUUUUUUUCAUAGAGUACCCUAGGCAUAAUGUUGACGCUGGAGCCAAAGUCGCAGAGUGCUUCUAGAAAGUCCACCAUGCUGAUGGAGAUCGGGAUGACGGGGCGUCCUGGAUUGUCUCUCUUGACUGGCAGAAGGUCAGUAAUUACUUCCACAAUGGGGUUACUCCAGUAGUUGUUUCCUCAAGCAUCUCAGGGCAGUGAUUGCCUGAGUGUCCAGUAUCUCCAGUGUGUUUGUGCUCGUAGAUCUAGGUUCUUCACUUGGUAGAGUCUGGGAGUUGUAAAAGUCCUUCAUAUUUUGCUCCAAGUGUACCUGCUCAUGGAGACAAGGCAGAGAUCAAGUGCAUGGGCCCUGUUGGUGGAAAACACCAACAGAACCAAAAGUGUAUUUGUUCUCUCUAACCUUAAGCAUAGUGAGCAAGACAAAGUUGAUGGAUAAUAAGACCAUGAGUGUAACAUUUAAAACAUUUGUCAGAUCAGAUCACUCAACCUUAUGGAAAGAUAAUCUAUCUAAGUAAAUGUUUUUUUUCUUUACAUGACUAUCAUUUUCCAAAGAUUGAGUGUGCAACAUUUUAGCUCAUAUGAUUAGGAUUGUGGGAUCACAAAGGUGGAAAGACUAAAAAUGUUGAAUCGAUUGGGUUGAUUAAUCUAAAGUUUUAAAUCAUACAUGUUUGUCUGUUUAUUCAUGUGAACGCUAGAACCAAGGAGAAACUUAUAAAAGUGAUAGUCAAGUACCUUAAGAUGUUACCUUACUCGAAGAGUGAUGGUACAGUAUCACCUUGUGGAAGCUUUCCUUUCUUAGCGGUUGUGCAUCAUGUUUGUGGCACCCUCCAUAGAUCAUCUCUUGUGAGCUAUGCCUUCCUUGUGUAAAUUGUUAAACUUCAUGUGCCUCUCUCUUUAUGUCCAAUGUGAGUUUGUCUCAGGACUUCCCAGGUCGAUAUUGAAAGUUUUCUUGCAGGGGUUAGUCCAACAAAAUAUCCAAUAUCUACUAUAGCAUACUAUCGGCUCAAAGAUCAACCUAGACACCAUGUCUAAUUUGAUUUAGGAGGGAAUUUUAACCUAAGCAUCAUGCUUAAUUUAAAAUCCUUUGGAAGUAAGAUCAUCAUUCCUAAACUAAGCACCAUGCUUAAUUAAGAGAUAAAUGAAUCUACUCCAAACCUAGACAUAUACUAAAGCAAAUAAAGGUAGCAUGAAAGCAUUUAUAGAGAUCUACUCAAGUGGAGAUGAAGUAGUGUGAUUAGUAUUUAACAAAUUGAGCAUGUCUCAAAGGUAGGGACAACCAACAUAGCAACAUGGAAAAGGAUGUUUUUAUGUAAAGUACUCUCCCAAGCUUGAAUUUUGCAAAAUUCAAGUUUGGAUGAAUUUAAUUCAAUGUUAUAUGAUGAUUGGUUGUACAUACCUUGUGCUUGUCAUUCAUCCGAUCUUCUUGCUACAAUCCUGGAAAGGUUAGUGACAAGAAUACCCGAAGGAAUUUUUUACAAUUAUACUUAUAUGCUCAAAACACAAGGUAAUGUUGCAAAUAAUUAAAAGCUCAUGUUACGAUCUGAUCAGUGCUUAUUUUAGAACACUAAGCUUGUCCUUGGGAAACCAUCAAUUUAUGUCGGCGAAGUGGUUUUCCCUCCAACGCUGACCUAUAUCAAGAUCAACUCAACGAGAUCUGCAAUAUUUCUUAUAGACAUAUGCAUCGACAACCGCCCUUUUAAAGUUUUUAUAGAUAGAAAGGAUGAGGGGGUUGGAGAUCUCGAAUGUGGUGAUGUUGGAGAGACCAAUGGAUUGUGAAGAUGUUGCAUAUGAGCAUGGAGUAAAUGAAGUGACUAUGAAAUAAAUUCCAUGCUCAUUAAUGCUUAGAGUGAAAUCCAUGUGGUAUGGUGAAAAUGAUAAGGUGAGUGUGGUGAAAAAGAAAAAGAAAAAGGAUACACAGACGACUUGGUUCGAAACUAGCACAGCUACCGUUCCCCGGCAACGGCGCCAGAAAGCUUGUUGGGUAUUUUAAACGCAAACAGAAAUCCGCAAGCGCACGGAUACCGAUGUAGCUUUCACCCGGGAGUAUUCCAGAGUAUCGAUUUUCCACAGAGAACGUGAGUGUACUAAUUAAGAUCCAAGAUCGCCGAAGGAUAACUAUAUAAUUAUUUUUGGUGAGAAGAGAGGAAGUUUCCUGAGAGUUCUCUAGUUGAUCUAAGAAUCGAGAAUUACUUCAAGAUUAUCUAUAUCGGGACAUCAGAGCACUAACCACAGAAAGAGAUGAGAAGGGGGCUAGGAAGGUCUGACUACGGUCCUACAAACACCGAUCCGAACGUGGUGGAAUACGUCGACCGUUAGGGCUGUCACUACCCUAAGGCUACCACAACAAUCUGCAGGAUUGGGUGCAAUUCCAGGUAAUUGCAAGACUAAACACCACGUCUAAUCUAUUAAUUACUACUCUAGCGUUAUAAAGACUAGAGCACUUGAUGCAAGCGGGAAUCCAAUAAAUAACUUGAAUGUAAAUAAAAGUAAUUAGAGAACUCAGGAAUUAUGAAUUAAAGAACCUAGAGAACGAUGAAGAACGAACCAGAUGCUGCAAAAGUAUAAUGUUGACGAAGAUCCGACAGAUCCGGCUCCUCCUCCGCUCUCCUCUUCUCUCUCCCUAUUUUCUAGAUUACAACUAGAACUAACUAGAACUAGAACUAGAACUAGAGGAACUAGAACUAGAACUAGAUGAACUAGAACUAGAUCUAGAUGAACUAGAGGUAGAACUAGAAGAACUAGAGGGAUCCUCUCUACUUGGAUGAAGAAUUGAAACCCUAGCUUUGAUUCUGUAGAAGAGGUAUGAUCUCCAGGGGCCAGGGGGGUCUGGUUUUAUAGUCCCUUCAAGUGAAUCUGGGCCGUCGGAUCAAACCGACAUUGAUCGUGUGGUUUUCCUUGAAGUAUUAGGUCGGUGGAGUGUUGUCCCCGAAUUGGACUCUGUUUGGUCCAGGGGGGAGGGCGGGCGCCCAGUAAGGGAGGGCGGGCGCCCAGUGCCCGGCUCCGUUACGUCUCCCGUUCGUUCCCGUGGCUUCUGGAGUCUUCUAGAUGGUAGAAAAUUGCGCGGCACGUUAAUAUCUCUAUGUAAACCCGACGUGUGGGCCUUUCUUCCUUAUUUCCUGAUAACCCCCUGCAGAAAUAGACAAACACCAAAACUCAUGGAAUUCUGUCAGAUAAAACCCUAAGUCUAGGUGUUGGUUCCAUUUAGAUCCUUUUCCAUGAUUAGUUGAUGGUUAAAUGUGAGCAUUAAGGACCGUCAACAUAGCACUUAGCUUGAGAUGCCUGCUUAUUUUAAAGCUAAAAUGUAACAUAAUAUCGUAUGGAGGCAAAGUUUAUAUCAAAGUUAUAGAGCCCGAAGAGAUAUACAACUUCUUAGUUGAUGAAAUUUUCAUUUGAAAUUAUUUGAGGUCCAUAAAAUAUGUUUUGAAUUAUUAGAACUUUAAACUUUAAAUUUUUUGAAUCUUUCAAAUGACCUCAGAUAGAGAUACAACCUAAACCAAAGUUAUAGUACUCGAUGAGAUAUAAAACUUUAUAAUUCAAACUUUUUUCAUUUGAAACCAUUUAGGUUCUCAAAUAUUCAUUAAAAGAUCCACUAAAGUGAAAACAAAAAGAAAGAAACAUUCACUUAGUCACAAAAGACUUCGUGGUGUAGUGGUAAGUUAGUUUCACAUGGAACAUCAAGUCAUGAGUUUGAUUCUCAACUACAACAAAUAUGAGAUUGUUUUUCUUUUUUUCCAUGUAUAUCCUUGAGGGUCAUCGGCACUCAAGAAAACAUCUAUCAUUGGGUGUUUUUACAUUUUCUUGGGUGCCAUCGGCACUCAAGGAAACCUAUAUCCUGGGGUGUUUUUAUAUUUUUUUGAGUGUCAUUGGCACUUAAGGAAACCUAUAUCCUUGGGUGUCGUUACAUUUUCUUGACGAUGUUAAAAAUCUGACCACUGAUUUAUUCUUUUGACGGUUUAACCCUCAAGGAAUUGAUUUGUGGCGGCCGACACUCAAGAAAAUAGUAUUUUCUUGUCUCUCUACCCUUGGCGGCCAUUCCUUGAGUGCUAGCCGCCAAUAUUGAUUUUCUUGGCGGUUUUAGGGGUUUCCUUGAGGGUUUUUGACCCUCAAGGGUAUUCAGUUUUGUGGUAGUGGUGUGCCCAGAAGUCCACACAUAUAACAAAAGAAUAGAAAUAUCAGAAAUAAUGUUAUAUAUAGCGGAAAACAUAUUUAUAAUAACACUUACAAACAUCAGAGUACGCGGAAACAGUAGCUAAACUUCUUAGGCUCCAUUCUUCUCAGGGACGGUUGACUGGGGGCUCCGUACGCCAAGCACUUCUCAUAAGCUUCUAGAAAACUCCAUGACAUCUUUAUCCUUCUUCUGAGCAGCACUUUACUACACACUGGGGGUGUGGGGGGGGGGGAAAUAGCAAGGGUGAGUUCAUGUCGAACUCAGCAAGCACAGAUGGAAAGUAAUGACAUGCAAGGCUUAAAACAAGGUAAAGCUGACUUGGUUUGACUGCGGUAGCAUUUUAGUUGAUCACUUUUAAUUAUGACUAUUAUUAGAACAACCUACUACUAAUUAUGACUAAUUAUGAGUAGCAUAAACCCAACCCUUAAUUAGGGUAAGUAGUAAUUAGCAUCUUUUAAAUGACUAUCCUAAUAAUUAUAGUAGUCCACGGAUUAACCCCAAAUAUUAACAUAGGAUAGCAAUCCUGCCAACACGGAAUAGCCAUUCCGCCAAAACACGAGGUAGCAACCUCGCCAAGUUCCAUCUCCAAGUAACCAGUGAAUCCAAUUUGCUCAUCAAGUGAGGGUCUGGGCCACUCGUGACCAUGAGCACGGCUGAUAUAUCAGUUUUACACUCCGUAGAGGUGUGCACGUUCACUCCAAGUCGUGAUUCCCAUUUGCCCGGGGUCAUGACUCCCCCAAAACACUGCCAAGGUGAGCAGGCAGGGUCUCACUACGAGACCUUUCACAGGGUCCAACUAAGAGGAUGCCACUCGCAAGUUUUCGCCGGGGCGCUAGACAGUCGAUACCCAUAGCCAUGGCGUACCAAGCAGCCACUAACUUAAUAUUCAUUACCCAAGUUACUUCCUCACGCCUACCCAGAAAGUAACACCCUACUAGUGGAGGUCCUGCUAAUUAGUCAAGCCAGAGCCAUAUAGCUUAGAGCUGCACUGUAUGUCCGAGGGGGCCGCUCCCGGACUAUGUCCUUACGGAGAGUAGAGACGGGUACGCCCGGCAAACCGGACCACCAACUGUACCCGCUCCCCCUGUCACCACCAUCAUCACGAUGCUCGUAAGCAUCCAACAUCGCCAUCACCGCAGUGACCAAAGGUUCAGCACAGUUAAGCAUCAUGUUAAGUAGAGAGUAAUUCUUGUUUAAGCAUGUGUAUAAGAUGAGUAGAGCAGCUAAGCAAACCUAGUAUAGCCUAGACUACCCAUAUACAUAACCCCAGGUGAACAAGGAAUAGUAAGUAAAGUUAGUCAUGUCCUUAGGGUUUGCAUUCAUUGGACACAUGCAUGUAAAGUAAAUGACAUUAAUGAGUAGGUUCAAAAUGAUCAAACGGUGUCUGCACUUGCCUUAAUUCCCAGUGUAUAUCUGCUCAGAAUUCUUUAGCUUCUUUCUUCUGAUCUCGAACUUCUGCUUUGACUAUCGGUCCUCAGCUCCUGGUCUUCACUGUUGACGAACCACACUUCUUCUACGCGUAGCAACCAAGCAACACAAACAGACAAACAAACAUGACUAAGAACAGACAUCAAUCAAAAGAAAAGCUUAGAAAGAGCGCACUAAACGACAUGACUUAUUGCUACGAUCGUGACAACGCAAGAACGGUUGAGAACGGAGCUAUCGUUAAACAGACACGACUUUUGAGGUUCGGAGUGUAACGGAGAAGACGACUAUACGCUGUCGUAUUUUAUUUAAUAAAAGAAGGUGAUAGACUUAUUGACCAAAUUAGAAAGAAUUAUAAAAGCUGGAGUUAAACUUUAGUCAUAACCUAAUUACGAACCAUUCUACAUCACUUAAGUCACUUUACUAUUUAUAAUUAGAAAACAAGGAAUUUGUGACAAGUUAAUCAGAGCAUUUAUGAAAUAAGAUUAGAUUAAGUAGAUCACAACUAAAAAGGCAUUUAAGUUGGCAUACUAAUACGUAUUUUAUGAAAAAGAUCAGAGAUUUAUUAACCUCUAAGUUGCUUUUGAUUUCAACGAUUAUUGAAUAAACAUUUACAAAAUAACAUUUAUGAUGAAAUCUAAAGGUAUCAAACAUGGUGAACAUUGCUACUAAUACGUGGUUUACGUCGAUACGAACCUAACGCGAUAAGAACGGGCUCAAUCGGAGUUAAAACACGCAUUCUAUGGCCAAAACUAGAUCGGUGGCAAAACUGUGAAUAAACAGAACUAUUUUUCGUAUUUUCAAUAAUUAAAAACUGAAUUUUAAAAGCAUAAAGGACUAAAUAAAUAAAUACUAACGGCGCUAGGGUCCUAAGUGUUAAAAACAGGACCUAGAUUUAAUUAAAUUUGAAAAGCUGCGGACUGCGGGUUAAUUACUAAAAUCUACAGGGGGCUUUGUGCAAAACGGCCAGGGCCAGUGUGGGUGGCCGGCUUGACUGGCCACGUGGCGCUGCGGCACUGGUCGAGUCCACGGGGGCGGUGUGGACCGAGGCAGGACGGUGCCGGUCCACCGGUCCAUGGUGGACCGAGGCUGGGCGGGUCGGGAGCGCGCUGCGUGGCUCGGCCAGGCCGCGGCGGCGCGCCAUGGCCGCGGCAGCGGGGCUCGUCGCGGUGGCGCUGUAGAGCGUGGGGAGCCUCGCCGAGGGCAUGGGCGAGACGCGCGGGGCGCGGCGAGUGCGUUGCGCGGGUCGGUCGCGCGGUAGAGGGGCCAGGGCGAGCGCGCGUGGCGGCGGGGUUUGGCCGUGGCGGUGGCGUGCUUCGGCGAGCGUGUGCAAGCACGUGAGAGCGAGAAAUAGGGUGGGGUAGGUGCUGGGGCUUCCUCACCUUGCUGCGAAGGUUGUUCGGGGGUCCUUGCCGACGGAACGGACGUGGUCGCAUAGAUCAACGACGAAGGAUACCUCCACUCGACAGCAGCUCGCGGCUAGGGCUAGGGAGAUGGCGGCGGCGCUGUCCUAGGGUUCGAAGGAGGGGAGCGGGUUGCAGUCAAAGGCCUUUAUAGGUUGUGGUGAACCUCGGGGUGCGUGCACAGGGAGAUCGGGCGGCGGCGGCAGCUCCCGCGCGAUGCGGAUGGAGGUUGGGGAUGACCUCCCCGUUGACGCGUGGGGCCGGGGCAUCAGCGGCUCGGGCGUGGGCUGGCAGGUGGGGCCCGCCUGGCAGUGGGAAAGCGCGGGCGCAGGGGCAGGUGGAGCUGGGGCGCGGGGCUGGGCUCGCCUGCUGCUGCGAUGCUGGGCCGGCUGUAGCAAAGGGCUAGGUCAAAAAGCUAAAGCGGGCUAAAAAGAGAAAGGAAAAAAAGACUUUUCUUUUUAUUUUGAAAGGGUUAAAUCAAAUUUGUCAACACCUUUAUAAACCAAAAUUUAAUUUCUUAAUUUAAGAUUAUUUUUAGAGCUUAUUUUCUUCACUACUUUUGAAACAAGACACAUUUUCCUAAGAUCAUAUUUUUAAAUCAUUUUUCAACUCAAAACGAAUUUAGUUUUCGAAUAGGACUUUUAGUGUUUUAUUUUUCCAAAAACCGAAAGGACCUAAACGUAGCUCGUUAUAAAUUUUAAAAUUUAUUUUUCUCACACAAGAUAAACAAAGCUAGGACACAAAGCACACAACAACAAAUAAAAACACCCUUCACUUAUCUUUAUAAAAGUUUUAAAAUUCUACAUUUUUCUCAUUUCAUAAUAACAAUAAUUAAUAAAAAUCUCGUAAUGUUUUAGAAACAUUUUAAAUCCUUCAUUUAAUUUAGUGUUUUCUAAUAACAAUCCAAAAUUAAAAAUUUUGGAGUGUUAUAUCUAAUUAUGAACUAACUAGACUCAAAAGAUUCGUCUCGUAAAUUACAAGCAAACUAUGUAAUUAGUUAUUAUUUUUAUCUAUAUUUAGGCCUUUUUUAGUUACAACAUUUUUGGCAAAAUGGACAUUGUACUACUUUCAUUUGUAUUUGACAAAAUAUUAACCAAUCAUGGAGUAACUAGACUCAAAAGAUUUGUCUCGUAAAUUACAGAUAAAUUGUGCAAUUAGUUAUUUUUUAUCUAUAUCUAAUGCUCCAUGCUUGUACCAUAAGAUUUGAUGUGACGAAGAGUCUAAAAAAUUUUGCAAAACAUUUUGAAAACUAAACAAGGCCUUAAUGUUCAAUGCAUGUGCCGCAAGAUUCAAUGUGACGGAGAAUUAAAAAAUUUUACAAUUUUUUUUUGGGAAACUAAGGUCUUGUUUAGUUUAAUUUUUUUUUAAAAAAAAUGAGCACCAUAGCAUUUUUGUUUGUAUUUGACAAAUAUUGUCCAAUCUUUGACUAACUAGGUUUAAAAGAUUCGUCUUGCAAAUUAUAGGUAUAUAUUUAGUUAUUUUUUUAUCUAUAUUUAAUACUCUAUGCAUGUGUCAUAAGAUUCGAUGUGGCGUGGAAUCUAAAAAUUUUGCAAAAUUAAUAUAUUGAUAUUAAUAAUAUAUGUUCGUAUCAGGAUCCAUUUGCAUCCCUAGUCGGUCACUCUAUUUUCGCGCACGCUUUUGUUUUAUUAAAUUAAUUAAACCAGCAAGCUCAUGGCUAUCAGCCGUAGUAGUGGAUAUAUAUUCUAUAUCCAAAAAGAUCAAGACGGAGCUGCCGUAUCAUAGCUAGCUAAUAAACAUCUCGCUAAUGAGCCUAAUAUAAUGUCAACAUCGUGGGUUUGUGAAGUCCGCCCAAGCACUUCAUCACGAUGCAGUACUAGUUACCGUAUAGCCUCACAUUUGUCCAACUACGCAGUGGGCCCAGGCCAACCCCCGCUGCAAAAGACCCAGAUACUACUUCCAGAAAGAUCUAGCGAACCCAGUGCAACGAGAGGCCCUGCGACGACGUCACGUGCCAAUCUGACGUGGCCCCUAAUCAAACCAUCCAAUUGUGUGUGCCACGUCCAGCGUGUCGCAUUCCACGACACGGCACCUGCUGACGUGCCGGUUCCCCGCCGGUCGUACAAUUUCCGAUGCCCAACCGUCGGCACCUGUCCCAACGGUCCGGUGCAGUGGGCCCAGUGGCCCACACCAACCACGGCCCCCACUUCCAUGUGCGAGAUAUUUUUCCGGGGCGGGGGCCUUUCCCUUUCCCUGUAGCUGUAGGUGGCCGACGCUGGGUGUCGGCAAAGAUGGGAGCAGACACGGUUCUUCCACGUGCUGGGCCGGCCGGUACAUACGGAUCGUUUUUUUUAAGAGAUUUAAAAAGUUUUUAGAUUUUGGUACUAUAUCACUUUCAGUUUUAUUUGAUAAAUAUUGUCUAGUUAUGAUGUAACUAGAUUUAAAAGAUUCGUCUCAUGAUUUACAGACAAACUGUGCAAUUAGUUUUUGUUUUUAUAUAUAUUUAAUACUCCAUGCAUUUGUCGCAAGAUUUAAUGUGACAAAAAAUCUUGAAUUUUUUUUUUGUUUUUAAGGUGAACUAAACAAGGCCUAAAUAGCUCGUCUUUGGUUAUAAUCAACAGACCGAGGCCUCAAACAUAUGCCUUAUUUAGUUGUACUUAAAGUUUUUCAAGAUUCUUAUUUUAUCAAAUCUUACGAUAUAUACAUUGAGCAUUAAAUAUAGAUAAAAAAUAAUUAAUUACAUAAUUUGUUUGUAAUUUACGAGAUAAUUUUUUUGAGCCUAGUUAAUCUAUGAUUGGACAAUAAUUAUCAAAUACAAAUAAAAGUGCUAUAGUGUCUGAUCCGAUUCCACUUCAUAUCCGUACAAGCUGUGGCAUCUGAAAAAAAAAAUCCGCAUUCGCAUCCAAAUCCGUACAUUAUCGGUCCGAUCUGAAUUAACAAAAAAAAAUAGAUUAGGAUACAGAAAAGCAUUAUCCACACUCCGAUUCGAUCCGUUUUCAUCCCUACCGAUAACAAAUAGUAUAUAUAACUAAUUAGUUAGUAUAAUUAAAAGAACAAUUUAUAAAUAGAUUUCAUAUUGUCUCAAAAAAAAAACUUAUGGGAGAAGUGUUUUGUAACAGCUAACGUUAACACGUGCAAUUUACUCCGGUUUCAUCUCAUCUGAUAUAGGGGACGUCGGAUGUACGGCAGGCUACAUAUUCCUAAACACCGCAAAUGCAAAAUAGGCUAAUAAUCACGUCACCUACACUACACCCAGCAUCAGCUUACAGCUUUCGAUAAGGGCCUUGUUUAGUUCAAAAAAUAAUCUUUAAACGCAUGUAUGGAAUAUUAAGGUCCUGUUUGGUUCCACCAACUAAAUUUUAGCUAGCUAAAAUUAUUUUAGCUACUCUUGAGUGACUAAUAGAACUAAACUAUUUUAGCCCCUUUUAGUCAAUGUGUUUGGAACUUUAGCUACUAAAGUGACUAAAGUUUAGCUAGCUAAAAUUUAGUUGGUGGAACCAAACAGGCCCUAAAUAUAGACGAAAAUAAAAACUAAUUGCACAGUUUGGUCGGAAUUGACGAGACGAAUCUUUUGAGCCUAGUUAGUUCAUGAUUGAAUAAUAUUUAUCACGUACAAACGAAAAUGCUACUAUUCUUAUUUUGUAAAAAAAAUUUAGAACUAAACAAAGCCAAGUGCAUGCACAUUGCACCCGUAUCGUCGGUAUGCCGGCGCCGGCGCCGGCUUGGGCAUGGGAGCAAUUAAGCGUCCUCCUGAUGACGUGGUGAGUUGCCAUACGUCCCUCCGUUGCCGGCCCUGCAAUGCAAUGCCGACUGCAUGCAUGGCCUAGCUGGCUGGGCGGCCACAUGCUUGCACGCGAGCCAUCGGAUGAGGAUGGACGGACGGCAUGGUGAACAUAAUCGUGCAUGGAGUAAAAGACGAGUAAGGCGCGUUGACUACUGACCCACUUCGUUCCAACAACCACCAAUUAAAAGGUGGGGAUGUCGUUGUUGUGCACAAAUAAGCAGGGCAAAUUUUUACACCUAUUUAAUUACUAUCUUAAUAGGGUUUCUUUCGAGAAAUAAUUAUGAUCAGCAAUUUUUAUCCAAUCAUAGACUAACUACACUCAAAAGAUUUAUUUUGCAAAUUAUAAACAAACUGUAUAAUUAGUUAUUUUUAUUUAUAUUUAAUGUUCUAUGCAUACGUCUAAAGAUUUAAUGUGAUGAGAAAUCUUUUUAUGAACUAAACAAGGCCUAAGUCUGUCGCCCGAUUACGUCAUAUACCCAAAAUUGUCAGUAGAUAGGUAGAUUCACGCUCACAUCACAUGUAACAGGCCAUGCUCAAAGUCCAUGUCCGUUGUGCGUGAUGGGCGUGUACGCGUGGUGCUAGCGUUUCCCCUGCCCGCUGCCCGCCGACGCUGGCAUUUGAAUCUGACUGGUUAGCUAGCCAGAGGUAAUGAAUGAAGACCUUGAACAACCUGUUCCUUUGACUUGUUAUGAGAAAAAAUUAUUAAAUAAUCUUACAGCGAUAGAUAAGUUCAAGCGAAUAGGCAGAGCAGAAUAGGCACAGCAGAAGAGGUUGUCUUUCUCACCCAUGAUUGAAGCCUAUUCGCUUGAACUUAUCUACCGAAUUUACCAGUCGUUCAACAGUAUUUUUCUCUUACAAUAAAUCAUCGAACAGUACUUUCAGAGGAUCAUUACUACAAUGCUCUAGCUCGGUAGAUGAUACUACCACAACUGGAAAGCCGAAAUUCCCUGACGGUGUCAUUACCGUCAGGGAAAAAUAAAACACCCUCAGGAAAUUUUAAAAAUAAUUUCUCCGACGGUGAACCGUCAUGGAAUAACCAUCAGGGCUGGCUCGAUAGGGAAAAGACUAUUUCUUGACGGUGUACCAUCACGGAAAUACAAUUUUGAUUUCCUAACGGUGAAAAACUCACAGGGAAAUUGUAAAAACUGUCAGAAAAAUUAUUUUUUGUCUGACGGUAGACACCGUAUAAAAAAAAGUGGAUUACCAACAAAGAAAUCUAUUUCCUUGGCGGUGGAAAUUCGACAGGCUAUAUGAUCAUUUACCUUGACGGUCCCAGGUGGUGUCUGUUUUCCCUAUCGAUUUCUUACCAUCAAGAAAUAAUGUUUUCCCUCUGUAGCUGAAAUUUCCGAGUCGAAAGGGGACCAUCAGGGCAAUUCUUUUCCCUGUCUGUGUAAAACCACCAAGGAAAAAACUAGCAUAACAUUUUCUAUAUUGUGUAAAACAAAUUUAUUUAAUAUAAUAUACACAGAACCAUGGAUACAUAUACCAAGAUAAAUACAAUACACCAUCAUAUAUAUAGAUUAGUCUAGCAUAAAUCCAUUACAUACAUAGAUGUCUUGUUUGCAUCAACAUUGAUAAAUACAUGAGAUGUCCAAAUAUUUAGCACCCAUCUACCCAAAAUAACUUCUGCAAACAUUUGGCAUCAACAUAACUCCCUUCCACCACCGAUCUAGUACUAGCCCCACAACCACACACCACUAGUACUGACCUAAGUGUAUGCAGAGGCAAACACUUCAAAAGAGUAAGAGCUAAAGGUUAGUACUAGCUCAACAUCCACACCACUAAGAACUAGGUGAAGGUUAGUACCAAACCAAAGUGUAUGCAGAGGUAAACACGUCAAAAGAACAUGCUACACAACCAUUCAGUCUUCAGUGAGAUGAGCACCAUCAGCAGCACCUGCACAUGUGGCUUCAUUAUGAUAGUUUCUGCUUUCCAAUGCAACUCUACUUCCACCAUGGAGUCCCUCAUUUGCUGCAACAUUGUCGUUAGUCGAUUCGGAAGCCACAUGAGAUGAUCCAGUCACCGGCUGCAUGUGAAUAAGUAAAAGAUUAUUAGUCACUAGGUUGCACGCGUUUCAGUCAAUAUACACAGUAUAGGGCUAAAACACAUGUUCAGCUAAAAAUAAAAGAUGUUCUCAGCUAAGAAUGUUCAACUAAGAAUGUCCAGCUAAGAUGUCCAUAGCUACAAAAGAAUCAACAUGAGGCCACUUCCUCACUGUUGCACUAGGUACUGCAAUGCUGAAUACCAUAAAGCUCUAGUGUGAACCAUAGGAGCCAAAUGCCUAAAUUGUAUGUCAUACAAUGGAGAGUAAAAUUCCCAUCACUUUUAUUAUUUCCACAUAUUAUUUACAGAUAAUAUUUUUUAUAAAAUGCCUAAAACCCUCUUUUGCUCAAGGUUCACACCAUGCGUUAUGUUUGCAGCAUAUGCAUUAGGAAACUUUAAAUCUUGAAUCCACUUGAGAAUGGUUGGCUUGUCAUCUUUACUGAUACAGAAUGGACCUCUUGGCCUAUCCCACUUCCCAUUAUUUCUUUGCACCAAAUGGAGCGAAGGACGAUUACAAAUUAGAGCUAAAUCUAGCCUAGCCUUCACAUUAUCUUUGGUCUUAUCUCCUAUAUCGAAGCAUGUGUUCCAUAUGGCUUUGGCCAUAUUCUUUUCAUUGUGCAUCACAUCAAUAUUGUGAGGUAGAAGAAGCUUUUGGAAAUAUGGAAGUUGCCUAAAGCAAAGUGCAUGUGUCCAAUUAUGCAAUUUUCCAUAGGUAUCUGAAUCACCUACAAAUCUAUCCGAAUGGCGUUGCAUUUCCUCUCCUGCUAAGAUAAUAGGAGGCUCCUCAGAAACACUUGUGUUAUUACGGAAUGCGUUUGCUUGUUGUGUAAAUUCAUGAUCAAUAGGCAUGAACUUCCUGUGGCAAUCAAACUAGCAAGCCUUAUGACCAUUACGUAGUGUAAAACCAUUUGCACCCAUAUCCAUAUGGCCAUGACAAUCUACCAUGUGUGCUCCAUCCAACAAAGUCACCAUAUGCCAUGAAGUCAUGUACAGACCAAAGGUAGUCUGCCCUUAAUGUCGAUUCUUUCUUUACCGAAGCAUCCCAAGAAUUAACCCCUACCCAUAGGUCCUGAAGUUCAUCAACUAAGGACUGCAUUAGAAUGUUUAAUUUUUACCAGAGUGCUUUGGACCAGGAACAACAAGGGAGAGGAAAAUAUACUCCUGUCUUAAGAGUGUACCAAGCAGCAAGUUUAGUGGGGUCACAAAGACUGGCCAACAUGAAUAAGGAGCAGCAUUUAGAUUAAAUGGUGUGAAACCAUCGGUUGCUACAGCUAGUUGCACAUUUCUUCUAUCUGAUUCAAAGUCAGCGUUGUCUUUAUCAAAUUUCUGCCAAGCUUCUCUAUCACAAGGGUGCACCAUUUUUCCAUUCGUUGAGGGACUAGGUGCAUACAUUAGUUUGGCUAUUUUGGGGUGUAGAAACAACCUUUGCAGCCUAUCUUUGAUGGGAAGAUAAUGCAAAACUUUGCGUGGAAUUUUCUUCCCACCAUCCUCGUAUCGAUUGGCUUUACAAAAAUCACAUUCCUCUUUAUUCUCAUUAUCUCUGUAUAAAAGCAUGCAAUUGUUGUAGAAAACAUCAAUUUUCACAUAUGGCAUACCAAGACCCUCUAAUAGUUUCUUUGAUUGGUAGAAGUUGUUAGGUAGCUUAGAAUCUGAAGGAAGAAGUUCAUGGACAAUAUCUAAGAUGUCAUCAUAUUCUACAAUAGGCAUGUAUCAUGACUUUGGUUUUCUCGUGCACCAACUCAUGUGCACUAGCUACCAUCCUAUAGAAAGCUUUAGCAUAUGGUGUUGGAUCAUCUACUACAGGUGGAUGGGCCCUAGCUAGAUCAAUUAGCAUUUCAUCCAUAUGGUCGGUCUCAUCAAAACCCUCUCUAUUUGCUGCAUGCAUUGUCAAAUUCAGUAUGACUAACAGUCCCCUCUCCAUGUUUUGUAGCAUUCCUUAAAACCAUGCUUACACAGGUGCAAUUCUACGGUUAUUCUUGGGUGUCAAAAAUAAUUCCGGCACUUGGCACAUGGACACUUGAUGGUACCAUUUUGAGCUACACCUGGAAAUGCAAAUACAUGAACUCAGUGCUUUCAUUAAUCUAUGCAUUAGAAAAGUUACCACGCUGCAAAUAGAGAGGGUUUAUGAUAUUACAGUGUAAGACUCUAUUACAGAGUCUAUUACAGAGUCCGAGACACUUAAUUACAUAUUAUUUAUGAUAUUUUGCUGAUGUGGCAACAUAUUUAUUGAAGAAAGAGGUACUCCCUCCGUCCACGAAAAAAUCAAUUCCUAGGAUCCGUGCUUUAUAGAAAAGAAUAACAACAUCUAUAAUAUAAAAUGCACAUUAUAUAAAAAUAUAUUCUAUGAUGAAUCUAAUGAUACUAAUUUGAUACCAUAAAUCUUAGCAUUUUUUUGUAGAAAUUUGGUCAAAGUUUAAAAAGUUUGACUUAGGACAACUCUAGAAAUUGGCUCUUUCGUGGACGGAGGGAGUAGAAAAAAUAAGACUUCAAGUCUUAGUAUUUAGACUCCAAAUCCAAAUUGUUCGAGGUAAUAAAUAAUUUUAGACUUUAUGAUAGAAUCUGCAUUGUGGGUGCCCUGAUAAGACCUACCCUAUGAACCAACGACAACAAACCACAGGUAUUAAUAAAGGGAUUAGAAGAGGUGGUCAAACGACGACACUGCUUAUUAAGUACGGCCGCAGCAGCUGGCCGUAGAUGACCGGUCUCGUUCGGUUCGUCACCUGCAGGGCCAAGAUGUCUGGACCAGACCCUUUCGUUUCUACGACUCCGUUUCUAGCAACGGGAGACUGGACUGCUACAUGCAAUACUCCCAGUCACGUAUGUAGGGCUGGACUGGACUUUCGUCCAUGACUCGCAUCAUACACACUUGUAACCAGUCAGAUAUCAUGGACGACGCGGAGUACAGUCGCAAACCAAGCUUCUGACUUGUGAUAUAGAGAGACGCACGCCUUGUUUAAUUCUAGGGUAUAAAGUUUUGGUGUCACAUUUGUCAUAAGAUGUUCAAAUAUUAAUAAAAAAAUAAACUACAUAAUCUGUUAGUAAAUCACGAGACAAGUUUAUUAAUUUAAUUAAUCUGUUAUUAGCACAUGUGUUCUUGUAACACUUUAUUGUCAAAUUAUGAACUAAUUAGGUUUAAAAAAUUCAUCUCGCAAAGAGUCCGUAAUCUGUAUAAUCAAUUAUAUUUUUAGUUUAUAUUUAAUACUUUAUGCAUGUGUAGAAACAUUAAGGGGGAGGAGAAACUAAACAAGACAUAUUUCUUUCAGGCCUUGUUCAGAUGGUGAAAAAUUUUGGUUUUAGCUAUUGUAACACUUUCGUUUGUAUUUUGUAAUUAUUAUCCAAUCAUGAACUAACUAGGCUUAAAAGAUUUAUCUUGCAAAUUACAGACAAACUAUAUAAUUAGUUAUUUUUUAAAUCUAUAUUUAAUGUUUCAUGCAUGAGUUCAAAGAUUUGAUGUGAUAGGAAAUCUUAAAUUUUUUUUGAAACUGAACAAAGCCUGAGUAUGCAACUGGAAAAAAAUAUAAAGAAAGAUGCGUAUCCAUGAAUGCUUGUUUUGGGACAAAUUAAAGGGUGUAACCAUCUCUUUUGUUUUUAUGGUGAGAUGAGCCAUUGGAUCCUGAUCAAAGUACUCAUUAAAGAGAACCUUCAAUUGUCAAUUUUUAAUAACAAUUCACAAACGACCUUCGCUGUCUUUUCUAGGUGACAGUGACAUGACACCCAUCACCUGUUCGUCGUGUUGUGCAAUAGUGCAGCAAUAGCAACGCCGGUUGAGUUAUCUAUCUAUUCAUUUAUUUACUAUUUAGCAGAGCAGAGCCGCUUGAACUUUUUUGUCCACCUUCUUCUCUUCUGGUCCCUGCUCACGGCCCAUCUGCUAUUACACAUUUCAGCCCGUUAGCGUCAAUCAAGCUCUUCCAUGUUUUAAAGUGGGCCGGGUUUUGCUAUGCUCAUGCGGGCUUCUUUUUUUAGACAAGGAGAUGACAAUAUACCUCCAGAACUCCAAAAUUUGUGACUGAAUGAGUAUAACCAUUCACACAAAUACACAAUACUUAUACAAUACUUCACCAAUUGGAGAACUAGGAAAAGGACUUAAGCCUUCAUUCUAUAUAGAGAAGUACUGAUGAGGACAUCCCAAUUAUACACGCUCGUUCAAGUUCAAAUGCUACAAAUCAAGGUCCACUUACAAGAAGCCGUGCUAAGAAGCUACAAGAGCAGGUGAAUUCUUUCCUUACUGAUUGUAAUUUUCACACUUCUAAGAAUGUUAUACUACCUAAGUGCUCUACUAUGGUUGUACUUAGGAAUAUAUUUGAAGAGGAGGAAAAGACAUUGCUACAGAAUAGCGAUAUCAGAAAAAUAACACGCAUGAAUAUUCGGACGUCCAAAAGUGAUCGCAUGAAUGUUCAGACAUCUGAAAGUGAUGUUCGGAUAUCGGAAAGAAGCAGUUAUAACUCUCAACUCCAUGAAACUUUGGAGGACUAUGAGGAUAUUUUGGAAAGUGUUGACACUUACUAACACCACUUGAAUACUAGGUUGUCAUCCCUAGCAUGGUACUAGAGUGUGCUAAGGUAUUUAUGAAUAUGAAGGCUUUUUAGAAAGUAAUAUAUUCUAUCCGCAAGCACAUAGAUAAAAUACCUCAUUGUAGCAUUUUACUAGGAAAAGUAUUCCGGGUAUUGUUAUUUAUAUUUUGCUUAAGAGAACGGUGAAAGUGAAAACAUGGGUAAAAUCUAUCAAGACAUAGACUAGAGAUAAACUUGCAAUAACAUGAUUACUAAUGAGAAACUCGUCACACAGUCACUUGCUUUGGUAGGGGGUAAGCCAUAAUAAUAAAGAUAAUACAAUAUAAGCUCAUGGGUAAAUAACACAGCGAUUAGAAAUAGACUACUCCAUAUAAACGUAAGGUGACGUCGGAUUAGCUAGAGAAUGGAUUUUAAGUAUCUACUAUCUACUAAGUCACAAUCUACUCUAGGCAUCUACAAGAUCAUAUAUAGCACAAAAGACUCUUCAUUCAGGUAUAAGGAACAUUGCUAAAGUAAAUCAGAAAAUAACAAGAUUUACUCUGCAAUACAAAUUCUGCCUGUCCUACUAACGGAGGGUGGACUAUAUAAGAAUCAACGAAGUUGUCACCAUCACGAACUACCACACGACCCGGCCAAUAGGAUACAUUUGCAGGUAAAUAAUAUCUAAGCACCACGCCCACAUGUGAUCUACCACUUAACUCCUGCGCAGAAAGAGCUAAGCGCUUUGCAAACUUAUACAUGAACUCAUUAUCAAUCAAAACUAUAUCAAAUAUAGAGCUAGAGCAGACUAAGAACAUAAUAAAUAGAGACAUAAUGUAAUUAGAAUAAAGUAGUAGAGAAAGAUAUGAAAUAAUACCAAUCUUUAUUGAUGAAGAUCCGAAAUCCAGAGCGCUAGGCUCUACUUCUCUAAUUCUAUCUAAUCAAUCCUAUAGAACUUGAAGGAAUUGGAAGUAGCUAAUUCUAAUUCUAUGUGGGAGAGAAGUUCCUAAAACCCUAACUUGGAUGGCUUCCUCUGAUAAUGAUUCUUCCUCCUCCCUGGGGUGGAGAGGCCUUGCUUAUAUAGUCCCCUCAAAUGAACGUGGGCCAUUGGAUCAAACCGACCUUAAUCGCACGGUUAUUUUUGAAGAUUAGAGGCAGUGGAGUGUUGGGUAUUCUUAACAUCACUACCAAAAGUAGACUUAGUUUUCUAAUUCUGAUAACGGUGCCAAAAAUGCCAAACCUAUCCCUCAUAUCACUUAAGCCAAGUUGUCAUCCCCAGCAUGACAUGAGAGACGCGGUAUUCAAAUAUGCAAUUGCUCAUCUAAAUAAAUAAUCAAAUAGGAUCUUCAAGUGCACAGAUUAAUACCGAUGUAGCAUUUUAACCGGGAAGUAUUCCAGGUAUCGUUAUUUAUAUUUUUACCACUGGGAAGGGAUUAGUAAUCAUCAAUGUUGAUUAUAGAAUGGAACAUAGAAUUGAGUAUCUAUCAUUGCAUGUAUAAUUGAGAACAUUUAUCUAACUCUUUCAUACAGGGGUAAGUGUCACAUAAAGGAUAUGUAUAAAGUAAUGAAUAGUGAUAAAGAUAAUUAAUCUGAUCAGCAUAACUUAGCCACAUAUAAAUAUGAUAAGCACCUCAAUUAGAUAUUCUAGCAAGUCAUUAGCAUGGAAUUAGGACGAACUACAAGAAUAUUUCCUAAGUUAUUCUUAACUAUACAAUCUAGCAUAUCAUAGUUAGUGCAAGUAUACUUAGCAAUCAUUGCGAGACAGGACUACGCCCAUGCAUAGUGAUAUUAUCAAGGAAUAUGAGAAACAUCGCAAUCACUCCCCUGUAAUAAUGUUGCUCUGCCAGCCCAAUACACGAGAGGGGGACUAUAUAAGAAUCAAUGGAGCUGUCACUACCACGAACUACCCCGCGAUUUGGCAUAUAGGGUACAAUCGCAGAUAAAUACGGUAUAAGCACCACGCCUACACAAUAUCUAUCAUUUAUCCAUGGAUCCGAUGGAUAAACGCUAUUGGGUAUUUUAAACGCAAACAGAAAAAUCCGUAAGCGCACGGAUACCGAUGUAGCUUUCACCCGGGAGUAUUCCAGAGUAUCGAUUUUCCACAGGGAACGUGAGUGUACUAAUUAAGAUUCAAGAUCGCCCAAGGAUAACUAUAUAAUUAUUUUUGGUGGGAAGAGAGGAAGUUUCCUGAGAGUUCUCUAGUUGAUCUAAGAAUCAAGAAUUACUUCAAAGAUUAUUUAUUUCGGGACAUCAGAACACUAACCGCAGAAAGAGAGGAGAAGGGGGCUAGGAAGCUCUGACUACGGUCCUACAAACACCGAUCCGAACGAGGUGGAAUACGUCGACCGUUAGGGCUGUCACUACCCUAGGGCUACCACAACAAUCCGCAGGAUUGGGUGCAAUUCCAGGUAAUUGCAAGACUAAACACCACGUCUAAUCUAUUAAUUACUACUCUAGCGUUUUAAAGACUAGAGCACUUGAUGCAAGCAGGAAUCUAAUAAAUAACUUGAAUGUAAAUAAAAGUAAUUAAAGAACUCAGGAAUUAUGAAUUGAAGAACUUGGAGAACGAUGAAAAACAAACCAGUUGCUGUAAAAGUAUAAUGUUGAGGAAGAUCCGACAGAUCCGGCUCCUCCUCCGCUGUCCUCUUCUCUCUCCCUAUUUUCUAGAUUACAACUAGAACUAACUAGAACUAGAGGAACUAGAACUAGAACUAGAUGAACUAGAGGGAUCCUCUCUACUUGGAUGAAGAAUUAAAACCCUAGCUUUGAUUCUAUAGAAGAGCUAUGCCUCCAGGGGCCAGGGGGCUUGCUUAUAUAGUCUUUUCAGAUGAAUCUGGGCCGUCGGAUCAAACCGACAUUGAUUGAACGGUUAUCCUUGAUCCUUUAGGUCGGUGGAGCGUGAUCCGCGAAACGGGUCCGAAUUGGACACUAUAGGAGGGCGGGCGCCCUGGGCCAGGCCCCGUUCGGCCUCCGCUUCGUUCCCGUGGCUUCUAGAGUCUUCUAGAUGAUAGAAAAUUGCGCGGCACGUUAAUAUCUCUAUGUAAACCCGACGUGUGGGCCUUUCUUCCAUAUUUCCUGAUAACCCCCUGCAGAAAUAGACAAACACCAAAACUCGUGGAAUUCUGUCAGAUAAAACCCUAAGUCUGGUUGUUGGUUGCAUAUAAGUCCUUUUCCAUGAUUAGUUGACGGUUAAAUGUGAGCAUUAAGGACCGUCAACAAGCUCCCCCAAGCUUAACCUUUGCUCGUCCCUGAGCAAAGAUGGACUCAAGAGUUUCUGUAGUGGUUUCAUGCCUUAAAGGUACACAUGCGUUCAAACAAGAUCUCAUCUCUGGGUUAGGGUAAACUGUUAAGAUUUAAACUUACUCACUUUUCCUUCUACCAUGGGGCUUGCAACCGUCACUUAUGUCUUGAGCAGUUAAAAGAUAGAACGGUCUAUUCAAGCGCCAUGUCUCUUGUUCUUUGAUUAACUAUAGCUCUGGAGUUUUUUUUGCAGAAUUUCAAAUAAAACUCAGAGAUUCCUUGUAUGACUCUCUCUAGUCUCUCUUUUGUGGUAUUUCUGGAUCCUUACCAAGGCAGUAAGGGUAUCUGCAUUCUCUUAAAGUAUGUAGUAUUUUUGGUAUGAGGCAUAGUGGCAUUGCCUUCUCUCUCACCCUACUCUAAUAAGGUUUUGAUAUCUGGAGCUCAUAGGUGGGAGACAGCUAAUACAUACUUACAAGACAUUUAUUGCAUAGUUAAACCAUGGAUCUAGAGGAACAAGUCAAUAAGUUAAAUCAAGAUGUGCAUGUGUGGCGAAUGAAUGGUGUAUGGUGAUGAUGGUGAUAACAAUGGUGAAAGUCUAAUUCUACUUGUGCUCUUUUGAGGGAUCCAUACCUUUCUUGCUCUUUUGAAACUUUUUGAGGAGAAUGAGAUGCUCUAUAUUUUCUUUUUUUCUCUCAGGUGGGUAUCUUGUACCCCUAAUUCUACUGUCGGACACUUGUCUAUUUUUACCUCUCGUCUCACUUUUUCUUUUCUUUUGAGGUUCCGGGCACUUGCCCCUUUUUAUUUCCUCGUAUUCGCCUCUUUUUUUCAGAGCACUCACCCUCCUAGAAUAAUGUAGCAAGUGGUAGUAACUAAAAUAUCUCGAGCAUUUAUUUCACGGGGAAUAACAGGGAUAGGAUAAUGUUUUUGGCUAUUCUCUCCUAGAUAGGAGUAGAAUAAUUUUGGGUGAAUCUGGAAAUAGAAAUGAUUGGAUGUAUGUGGAUGCGUACUUCCAGAGUAGAAGCAGCAUGUAUGAGUGAACGUGCAAGUGAAUCUUGAUUUUAACCACAUGACAAGCUCCUAAGGGUCUACAUAGCUUGACCACACUCAAUGCUCAUAAGCAGUAAAAAGUAAAUGUAUGGUUCAUAGUCUAAUAAGCAUGUAUAUAUGGCUGUGGUAGGAUUUUAAACUCUCAUCAUACAGGAACUCAUCAUGCAACAUUUUAAAGAUUUUCAAAGAUAAAAUUCUCUAGAAUUCUAGCAUCUCUAGGAACAGAUAAACAACAGCUCAACCUUCCCAUAUCGUAUCCAUUAACGACUUAAACUUUAGAUCAAGUACUCUCCCCACAAGUUCAGGUUUAGAGCAAAUCUUAAUUCAUAACAGUCAAGCCUAAACUUGAGAGAGAUUUCAAUUUUGAGAACUAGUCAUGGCAGAGCAACUAUUCAUCAUUUCCAUGUGAGAGCUUAUCAUGAGGGUUCAUAGCAAACUUUAUUUAUUUAUUUAUUU
rnacentral:lncRNA from 1 species